rnacentral:rRNA from 1 species
GAUGAACGCUGGCGGCGUGCCUAAUACAUGCAAGUCGAGCGAACAGACGAGGAGCUUGCUCCUCUGACGUUAGCGGCGGACGGGUGAGUAACACGUGGAUAACCUACCUAUAAGACUGGGAUAACCUCGGGAAACCGGAGCUAAUACCGGAUAAUAUAUUGAACCGCAUGGUUCAAUAGUGAAAGACGGUUUUGCUGUCACUUAUAGAUGGAUCCGCGCCGCAUUAGCUAGUUGGUAAGGUAACGGCUUACCAAGGCAACGAUGCGUAGCCGACCUGAGAGGGUGAUCGGCCACACGGGAACUGAGACACGGUCCAGACUCCGACGGGAGGCAGCAGUAGGGAAUCUUCCGCAAUGGGCGAAAGCCUGACGGAGCAACGCCGCGUGAGUGGUGAAGGUCUUCGGAUCGUAAAACUCUGUUAUUAGGGAAGAACAAAUGUGUAAGUAACGAUGCACGUCUUGACGGUACCUAAGCAGAAAGCCACGGCUAACUACGU